CAUUAUGUUAUCAAAGUGUGUCCGCCACGCAGGGCUAAAGUUACCUCACCCAAGACAAAGGAAUGUGGUUUCUGGAAGAUAUUUUGAAGUUGGUGACUGAACAUCCAAGAGGAGUCAGAAAAACAGACUGUAGUUUUGGUUUGGAAGGAGGAAGGCAGAUUUCAGGCAAGGUCCUAUUCCAGCAGUUCCCUUGAGAGCUUAUUGACCACAGAUUUGGAAUGGAUUUUGCCAAAAUGUUGAUCGUCAU